CCAGUCCUCCUCCUCCUCCUUCUCGUGCAGUCGGUCAGGUCAGUCGUGUCUCUCCUCUCCUCUCCUCCUCUGUCUGCUGAGGCAUCUCAUCGGCAAUUCGAUCGGCAUAGAUACAGCACAGAGGCGAGGCAUAGGAUAGAGCCGGAGGAGGAGGAUCCCCAGGCCUUGGAUUCCUUCCCUAGGGUUGUUGGGCAGCCUGCUAGGGUUAGGCUCGACGCUGGGGGCAGGGGGACGGGGCUCCUCCUCCGCCGCCAAUGCCUCCCGGUGCUAGGCGCGCCGCCAAGCCCGGGCGCAAGUGGACCAGGGAGCCGCGGCUCGGCGACCUCGUCCUCGCCAAGGUCAAGGGCUACCCGCCCUGGCCCGCCAAGGUCAGCAGGCCCGAGGACUGGGGCCAAACGCCAAUGCCACGCAAGUUCUUCGUCUACUUCUUCGGCACCAGAGAGAUUGCCUUUGUAACUCUGGCAGAUCUUCAGGAAUUUACCGAAGAGGCAAAAAAUGAGCUGUUAGAUCGAGCUCCGAACACUAAAUUGCCGAAAAAAUAUGCCCAACCUUUUAGUGAAGCUGUGGAGCAGAUCUGCAAGGCCCAUGAUGAGCUGCCAAAAUCAUCUGAAAUUGCAAGCGGUGUUUUGCCUGAUCAGAGUGAAAAGCCUACAGAGCACCUUGUGAAGUCGCAUAAUAAUGGUGAGACUCCAGGAUUGGGACAAAUGGAAGGUGAUAGUCCUAUCGACGACUCUAAAACUUUAGGGCAAGGGUCAGGGACUGAGGAGGAUGUGAAAGACGUUGGUCAUGAAAAAGGGGAUCCUUCUGUAGCAGUUUCUCAAAAGAAAAGACCUUUACGAAAGGAUCAUGAUCACCCCAAGACAAAGAAGUCUGUUGCAUCCAAGUCUGUUCUUGACAUGUACCAUGAACAGGAGCAUUCACCAACCUCUGCGUGUGCAGAAAGGGAGACUGAAGAAGUAAAAGUUGAGAAAGAGAGCCGCCCACCAGAAGGUUUUGUUUUGGACCCCAACUUGGAGGUAGUUUGCGCUCUUGAAGUACCAAAGAAAUCUAAAGCUAACAAGCAGUCGAAGAAUGCCGAAAGGAAGGAAAACAAGCGUGCUGACAUUAGUGGUUCUACUGGAAGGAUUGCUACUGAAGCUGCAACUGAUGCUGUAUUAAACAUGGGUGCUGACAAAGAGAGCAUAGGAUUUAAGAAGUCAAAAAUCAUGACGAAACAAUCACUGGCCAAUGAUUCAGAGAAAAGGGACUAUAACAAAAUUGUGCAUGGCAAGCCUGACAAGCAGUCGACUGGAAAGUCAUCUGCAGGAUUUUCUUCCAAUAAGAAGCCUCUGCCUGGUAGCGGGCAGCGCAAGCCGGACCGUAGUACUGAUACAUAUCCGGCAAAGAGGCCAAGACUUCUGGACAGGGCUGGUGAAACAGUUAAGACAGUGGCCAAGAGUGAGACGAUGCUAACUGUUAAUGACGAAAAGGAUAAUGCUAUGAAGCAUGAGAGAUCUACCACUGUAGAGACAGGAAACAACACAGUUCCCAAGACUGGUAUCAGCGAUGAUAGGGCACGGAGAUCAGGGAGUGUUCUGUCACCUGUAUCAAGGCUUCAUUCUGAGGGAUUGGAACCAGGAUCUGGUUCUGCAACUCAGUCAGUUGUUGCUGAUUCUGCUAAAAAGGGCUCCAGCAUGAAGGAGGGUGCCUCCCGUGUUGAUAGGCAAUUGGUGAAACCCAAGAGAAGAGCGUGUCGCUUUGAUGAUGAUGAGGACGAAGGACAGCGGACACCACUUCAUAGAACUUCUGCCAAAUCUUUCUCCACACAUGUAGUCCCAGCUGAGAAUACAGGGACUCGGGGGAAUUUUUCAUCUCAAGUUGGCAAUGCUUCUGUAAAAAAAUCUGGCGCUGCAAGAGAAGAGAAACCAAGAUGUGUUGGGAUGUCACCUGUGACGCAUGAGCCAGUUUGUUCUUCACCAAGUCAAGAUAAAAUGCAUGCUAGACAACAGAUAGUGGGGAGAAGAUCGAUCACAGGCUCAGUUGAUACUCCUGCUGGUUUGGGUAACAAAAUUAACCUGGUAGAUCGGAAAUCCUCUGGACAAUUAAAAAUGCCGGCAUCCUCUGAAGUGAAGAAACUUCAUAGUAGUUCUUCUAAACUAUUGCACCAAACAUCUGGAAACUCCCAUUCUCGAAAGCAUGCUGCCUCAGAAAAGAAUGCCUUGUUGUCCAAGUCAGAAAACACGAAGGCAAAACCUAAGCCUGGGGCACAGAUAGCUACGGCUGUUGAGAAUAAGGUAAGCGCCACUUUGUCAGCUGAACGAACUGGGAAGUGGGAUCACUCGAAAGAGGAAAGAUCAAAUUUUGUUGAUAAAGCAGCUUCUUCUGAACCUAACCCUGAUUCCGUCAGGUCAAUGAAACAUCUUAUUGCAGCUGCCCAAGCAAGGAGGAAUCUUAUAGUGUCUUCUCAUGGAAAGUUCGAUGGGUCUUUGGCUGAUAAUACUGGUCUUACUUCAACACCAUAUGGUUUGCCUGGACUAAGCCCUAGUCCUGUUUUUCGCAUUCCAUCCGCAUCUAGAAUUUCUUUUCCAGAGAGCCCUGGUCAACGUAUUGUUCUGAAAAGCCCAAUGGAGCUUGACCAUGAACAUGGAAAGAGUCCCAAGCCUAGGCAGACCAGCGGUUCACCGAGCGGUGGUACAGAUGCAGUGAUUGCUCGUGAUGCUCUGGAGGGAAUGAUAGAGACACUCUCGAGGACAAAAGAUAGCAUAGGGCGUGCGACACGUCAUGCAAUUGAGUGCUCCAAAUAUGGCAUUGCUGGAGAGAUUGUCGAGCUUCUCAUACAGAAAUUGGAGAGUGAGCCUAAUUUGCAUCGCAGAAUUGACCUCCUUUUUCUCGUGGACUCCAUAACGCAGUGUUCUCAUUCUCAGAAAGGCAUUGCUGGGGUUUCAUAUGUUCCCACUGUUCAAGCUGCAUUACCUCGUCUUUUGGGUGCUGCUGCUCCACCUGGAGUUGGUGCUCGUGAAAACCGGCGCCAGUUCCUCAAAGUUUUAAGACUGUGGCUUGAGAGAAAGAUUAUGCCAGAAGACAUACUCCGAAGGUACAUGGGUGACAUUGAGGUGCCAAAUGAUGAUACUAGCACAAGUUUUCUGUUGAAGAGACCAUCCCGCGCCGAACGCUCUGUGGACGAUCCUAUUAGGGAGAUGGAUGACAUGCUUGUUGAUGAGUAUGGAAGCAAUGCAGCCUUUGAGCUUUCUGGAAUUUUAUCAGCAAAAAUCUUUGAAAAUGGUGAAGAUUUUCCUCAAAAUAAUGAAUCAUUACCAUUUAUUUCGCGGCCAGUUGAAAGUGAUGGCAUACAAGAAAAUGAAGAUACUAUUGCUCCAACAUCUGUUACGGAACACAUUAUUUUACCAGAGACUGAAACUACUGAUGCUGCUAUGGAAGAUGCUUCGGAGUUCCUAAGAAACAAGCAACAGACUGUUGAAGCUGUCCUCAUUGAGCAUGACUCUAGGCAAGAACCGGGUUCAGAGCAGGCAUUGAUUGAUCAGAAUGAGCUUCCCCCUCUAGCCGAGGGCCCUCCACCACUUCCAUCGGAUUCACCUCCUCCUCCACCACCCUUGCCUCCUUCACCACCACCUGCUACACCGCCACCGCCGCCACCGCCUCCACUUUCGCCAGCUUCGCCACCUCCGCCUCUGCCAUCUGGACCACCUCCUCAGCCUGCUCCACCACCACUGCCAACCCAGUCCCCACCUCUUCCUUCUAUUCCGCCGCCUGUUCCUUCAUCUCCCUUAUCAUUGGGUUACCAGUCUCCAGCGCCAGAGUACUUCAGGGCCCCCAAUGGCGACCGACUAACACAGAUGACAGGAAAUACAUCGAUUCAAGCUAUUGGAAAUACAACAAACUUCAUUCCUGGUGGAUCAGUCAAUGGACAAGCUGCGGUUAAUUUUGUACCUUCAAUGCCAACAGAGUAUGGAAACAAUAAUGUAUUUAUAGCACCUCAAGCUUCUAAUGGUAAUUACCAGUUUCGACCCACUGGUGUACCUUUUCAUCAAGGGAAUUUCAGUGCCUUUCCAUCUUCUCAAACACUACCAGUUCAUUCCCACUCUCGUCUUGCACACAUGAAUCCCAUGGGCCAACAAGCUGUACCACCUCAGUGCAAUCCUUAUGCAGUGCAGUCCUUUCCAAAUAGUCAAAGCCAUUAUCCAUCUGAUGAACAUUGGCGAAUGGCAUCUGGUAACUUUAGUCCAGAUGACCAGCAUAAUAAUUGGUCAGCAGGUAGCAGAGCAUUAUCUUGCUCAGAAGGGUCAUUCAUGAAGGAUGGAUAUUCAAGGUCUAACAUCGACAGAACUUCAAUGAAUCCUAUGAGUCAUCAACAUCCUGUUCUAAACCAUUUCCCAUCUGGAGCACCGAUACCAGGCCAUGUUGUUCCUCAGAUGCUACCAGCCAGAUCUGAUAUGCACACACUUAAUUGCUGGAGGCCUUCUUGAUGAAGUUGUACAUUGAAUUCCUCGCUUUCCGGUUUUGACAUGGGAAGUUCGGGGCACUGGAGACCAUUUGAGUUCGAGAUACAACAAGUGGUGCUUCUGUUAGUCUGUUUUGUGAUGAAGAUACACUUGCAUGGGGUGUAACGAUGAGAUCUGCCAUAGUAUUUGGAAUGGACAUUUUACAAUGUAAUUAGUCUUGACAGCAGCAUCCAGCAGACUAAUCUCCUAGUUUCUGUCGGCGAGAGCUACAGGGUCUCCCAGUUUGGUCGGCAAGAACGUAUAAAUUCUCCUGAGGAAGGGCCAUCUCGAUCUCCCAGUUCUGUCUGCGAGAGCCUUUCACUCUGCAAUGCUAUAGGAUGAGAAUGAGAGUGCUCGAGAGAAGGUUAUGGGUGUUAAUGUUUGAUAGGAAAGAGAUUAGAAAAGAAGAGAAAUAUUUGGCUGUCAGAUAACUAAAGUUAAGUUGUGGGGGAAGAAAGAGAAAUGUUUGACUAAUACAUACUGAAAAGAAGAGAAAUAUUUGGCUGUCAGAUAACUAAAGUUAAGUUGUGGGGGAACAAAGAGAAAUGUUUGACUAAUACAUACUGGCACCUAUUGCAUCAGAAGGGAGUUUAUCACAGGACCACAAGGUAUGAGAAGGGUUUAUCACAGGACAACAAGGGUGUUGAAGUCAAGAUGAGGGAGGUACCAUAAGUUAGACAUUGGAAACUCCAAAGAUGAAAAAGUGUACAAGAAUGGGCUCUUGAAGAAGAAAACUUAUGACGUAUGCCAUUACUUGCAAGGCAUGAUACCUAUAAUAUGUUGCUAAGACUACCCAAGUGCAGCUACCAUAUCAGCAAUGCUUAAUUCGCCACGGAGAUGGAGUGUGCAGGCGGUGCCCCUCCACUCAACUCGCCGGGAAACAGCAUCGCUGGCCUAGACAGCACAAGUGCUGUAGGCGGCCUCCUGCUGCCUGUCAACUUUGUGCACUUCUUAACCUGUGAGAUAUUGUUUAACCUUGUCGCGCUUUGAUUUGGUGAAACUAAUAAACAGUGAUUUCUUUUAUUGAUUGAUCUUGGAAAAGCAAUGGCUGUUGUCUCCAGCAUUUUUGCGGGGCUUUAUGGAGCAGUCAUUGUCGACCAGAAGAAGUUGGCCUGGAGGGGAUCGGAGUUUCCUAUGUGGUGGCCGUUGUUACGGAGUUUGAUGAAUAUACCACUGACUAGCUUUACCUCUGAGGGAUAAUUGUUUCAAAGUACAGCAUUUCCUUUUUGACUGUUUUGAACUUAAUGUGCUAAUAUACUUUGUCAUGUGCUGCUUUGUCACUUAGCAGUUUUGUCGUUCCUUUUGUUAACAAUUAGGCCUUCCUAUCCUACCAUAGAGAAGUUAUCCGACUCCGUAGAGUUUUCAUUCAGACUAGAUGUCUCUGUUAAAGGAAGUAACAUAAUGGCUCAUUGGUGCCAAAAGCAAGGAGGUGGACUGAGUAGCAAAUAGGUAGUAGCCAGAACAAAUCGAUGGAGUUUGGAAAAUAAUCAAAGUAAGUUGUUUCUUCUA